AGGUGGUCUGAUGAACAAUCCCAUGACCCCGAAGAAAUGUACGAAAAUCGCUUGAGAGAUAUUCCCUCCCUGAGUCAGAGCGGAGAGUUUGAACUGGAACCCGAAAUUAAUCUCCACCAUAGAGUGAAAUAACUUGAAUUUUUCAAAAACUUGUGACUUCGAUUGCAGAAAGUAAAUCCAAGUGUAACGUGUGAAAUCAUCAAUGAAUAUAACAUAGUAUCGUAACCCAGAGAGAGACAUAAUUGGUGAAGGA